rnacentral:rRNA from 1 species
AUGGCUGCGGUAUUUUGACCGUACAAAGGUAGCAUAAUCAUUAGUUUAUUAAUUGUGAACUAGUAUGAAUGGUUUAACGAAAUAUUAACUGUCUCAUAUUUAUUAUUAUAAUUUAAAUUUUGAGUUAAAAUGCUUAAAUUUUUUUAUAGGACGAGAAGACCCUAUAGAUCUUUAUUUAUAAUAUUUUUAUUUUGUUUGGUUUAUAUGUUUUUAAUUGUUUUAUUUAUUUUGUUGGGGUGACAUGGAGAUAUUAAUAACUCUUUAUUUUUAAUUCAAUUAUUUUUGUUUAUUUGACCUUUUAUUAUUGUUAUAAGAUUUAGAUACCUUAGGGAUAACAGCGUAAUUUUUUUUGAGAGUUCUUAUCGACAAUAAAGAUUGCGACCUCGAUGUUGGAUUAAGAUUAUAAUUAGGUGAAGAUGCUUAAUUGUUAAGUCUGUUCGACUUUUAAUUUCUUACAUGAUCUGAGUU